GUAUUCCCAGGCAGUCUCCCAUCAAAGUAUUAACCAGGCCCAACCCUGCUUAGCUUCUGAGAUGAGACAAGAU
rnacentral:sRNA from 1 species